rnacentral:lncRNA from 12 species
AUCCAUCUUCUCUGAAGUCAUGGGAGUUGUGCCUUUCAGAGAAAAGAACACAGACUGACAAAGGAAGACUAAUAUCCUUUAAUGCCUGAGAUGAAGCAUGAGAAGCUUGGUCAUUUGAAAAAUACCAAAGACAUUCUUGAGCUGCCUGCCUGUUUGAUCAAUGAAUGCGUAGUCCAUGCUCCUUCCCCCAGUUUCCUGCUCUUCCUCAUUAUUUCAGCCCCAUGGUGUCACUGAUGAGCUUGCCUGCACAGCAUGAAUAAGAUUUGAAAUCCUGCCAGUUUCCACUAGAUGGAAGAUGAAAGCUAUGGCAGGAGUUACAGAAGUGUUUCUGACGGAAGUCAAAUUCUUCUCUGGCUUCCAAGAAAGAUUUAUGACCAAAAAAAGAACAGAUUUUACCUGGCAGCGGGUGCGUACAAGGUGAGGAGCUACAUUCUUGAAACCACUCUCAAGAAAACAAUCCUCCACUUCCAGACCACCCUGAGUUGUAGACUUGGGGUUUCGGCAGCGGUAACACUGCUGGGUCAUGUGGCAGACGUCUGGGCAGCCCAGAGACAUCUGUUCUUCAGCCUCAACCCUUUGCAAGUGGUUCAGGAACUUCCUUUUUUCUUGUUCACUUGGCCCAAAGUUGUUCCUUCUACAAACAUCCAGAAGGUGUUAGUACCACCAGAGUAUCAGACUUUAUUGCCGCUUUCCCGAUGGGCAAAUUGGCCUGUAAUGAAGGCAAGCCUACUAGAAUAGGAUGUAUUCAAUCUACUUUAUUUGAAAACGUAAUUCAGACAAGUUAGAUCCAUCUGAGUUUUAUACAAAAUCUGAAAUAGUUAGACCAUAUUAGGUCUGUUAGUUCUCAGUGAAUAUGUCUUGAUUCUAAGAGUCAUUUCUAAGUUGAUAAUUCACAAAUUAGUAGCCAAUUUGCCAUAGAAAUAUUGUGGUUAGUUUCUGAGCCAAUCCCCAGAUUUCUCCUGAAAAAUCCCCAUUUUUCUCCUGAAGCAUAGUACUGCUCUAAUAGUACAAUGAGAUCUCAUUACCACUUUCAACAAUCUGCUUUUGAAACUAAAACCCCCCAAGUUCCCACUGAGGAUGUUAGGGAGUUAUGCUGAGACUCUCAUUCAUUCCCUUCUGUUCCAGCCAGAGUAAUCUGCAGAACUCCCAACAGUGAGAUGGGGAUCUCAGAAAGCAGAAAGGGGAUCUUGGGGGGAGAUGAGGUGAUGGCAGCAACAGAAGUCUAGGCCUUCAGUGACCAUCAGCAAGCAGCGGUGGGUGUCCACAGUUUACAAGGCGGUCCCAGUCCUUGCUAAGUGACAGUGAUGGUAGAAACGGGGAGUAAGGAAACAGGAGGAGGAAAAGGUGGCCCCUCACAGAAGCAGUGAUGCCUGCAGGGAGAUAAGCUUCUGGCUUGGCCUUCGGUUCACAAGAAGAAAAUACUUGUCUUGAAUUAAGAAGUGGUCCAUUUGAUGAUCACAGUGGAACACACCACACACAUGGACACACACGCGCACACACACACACACACACACGCGAAAAACACAUGUUGCCAACAAGAUCCUUAGGGGAAUUGUUUCACCAAAGAAAAUAAAAUGAUGUAUAAUUGGCA